AUUGAACGCUGGCGGCAGGCCUAACACAUGCAAGUCGAACGAGUGGCGGACGGGUGAGUAAUGUCUGGGAAACUGCCCGAUGGAGGGGGAUAACUACUGGAAACGGUAGCUAAUACCGCAUACCAUCGGAUGUACCCAGAUGGGAUUAGCUAGUAGGUGGGGUAACGGCUCACCUAGGCGACGAUCCCUAGCUGGUCUGAGAGGAUGAUCAGCCACACUGGAACUGUGACACGGUCCAGACUCCUACGGAGGGCAGCAGGGGGGAGUAUUGCACAAUGGGGGCAAGCCUAAUGCAGCCAUGCCGCGUGUAUGAAGAGGGCCUUCGGGUUGUAAAGUACUUUCAGCGAGGAGGCGUUACUCGCAGAAGAAGCACCGGCUAACUCCGUGCCAGCAGCCGCGGUAAUUC
rnacentral:rRNA from 1 species